AUUGAACGCUGGCGGCAGGCCUAACACAUGCAAGUCGAGCGGAUGAAGGGAGCUUGCUCCUUGAUUCAGCGGCGGACGGGUGAGUAAUGCCUAGGAAUCUGCCUGGUAGUGGGGGAUAACGUCCGGAAACGGGCGCUAAUACCGCAUACGUCCUGAGGGAGAAAGUGGGGGAUCUUCGGACCUCACGCUAUCAGAUGAGCCUAGGUCGGAUUAACUAGUUGGUGGGGUAAAGGCCUACCAAGGCGACGAUCCGUAACUGGUCUGAGAGGAUGAUCAGUCACACUGGAACUGAGACACGGUCCAGACUCCUACGGGAGGCAGCAGUGGGGAAUAUUGGACGAUGGGCGGAAGCCUGAUCCAGCCAUGCCGCGUGUGUGAAGAAGGUCUUCGGAUUGUAAAGCACUUUAAGUUGGGAGGAAGGGCAGUAAGUUAAUACCUUGCUGUUUUGACGGUACCAACAGAAUAAGCACCGGCUAACUUCGUG
rnacentral:rRNA from 1 species